AUUGAACGCUGGCGGCAUGCCUUACACAUGCAAGUCGAACGGCAGCAUGGAGAGCUUGCUCUCUGAUGGCGAGUGGCGAACGGGUGAGUAAUGCAUCGGAACGUACCGUGUAAUGGGGGAUAACGUAGCGAAAGUUACGCUAAUACCGCAUACGACCUGAGGGUGAAAGCAGGGGAUCGCAAGACCUUGCGUUAUACGAGCGGCCGAUGUCAGAUUAGCUAGUUGGUGAGGUAAAGGCUCACCAAGGCGACGGUCUGUAGCGGGUCUGAGAGGAUGGUCCGCCACACUGGGACUGAGACACGGCCCAGACUCCUACGGGAGGCAUCAGUGGGGAAUUUUGGACCAUGGGGGCAACCCUGAUCCAGCCAUGCAGCGUGAGUGAAGAAGGCCUUCGGGUUGUAAAGCUCUUUCGGCCGGGAAGAAAUCGCACAGGCUAAUACUCUGUGUGGAUGACGGUACCGGCAUAAGAAGCACCGGCUAACUACGUGCCAGCCGCCGCAGUAA
rnacentral:rRNA from 1 species